CAACUCACAUCGCAAGUUCGCAACCUUGCUGGCCGCAUGACAUUUUUUCGUUGUGGGUAAACCGCACGGAAACGGAUUCGUUCCUGUUUUUAUCCUUCAGAUGCAUUUCCGUUAUGCUGGUUCGGCUCUGGAUGCUUAAAACGCAACUUGCAACAAAAAUGAUGGGAAAGAAAGGCUGAAAUCCGUGGCAUUUUCUUUCAACCAAAACAAUGCCUUGCUCACUUGGCCUCUUAUCUUCCCCAGUGUUCCCUCCUCAGAAAACUAGCUCGCUCAUUCUAAAAUCUUAUCCACUUCAUCGUCUCUCUGUCAAUUCAUCCAUUGAUAAAAACUCCACCACCAAUUCUAGCAGCAGCAACAAUAAAUCCAGUUCCUGGGUCAGCCCAGAUUGGCUGACUUCAUUGACUAGGUCCCUUACCUCGGGAAAAGACGAUUCUGGCAUUCCUGCUGCAAGUGCCAAACUCGACGAUGUUUCUGACCUUCUCGGCGGCGCUCUUUUUCUCCCACUCUUUAAAUGGAUGAAUGAGUACGGCCCCAUUUACCGACUCGCCGCAGGUCCUAGAAAUUUUGUGGUGGUUAGUGACCCUGCUAUAGCGAAGCAUGUUCUAAGGAAUUAUGCUACAUAUGCAAAGGGCCUUGUUUCCGAGGUUUCGGAGUUCCUGUUUGGGUCCGGUUUUGCAAUUGCUGAGGGCGCACUCUGGACGGUAAGGCGCAGGGCCGUGGUUCCAUCUCUUCAUAAACGCUACUUGUCUGUUAUGGUUGAUCGGGUAUUUUGUACAUGUGCUGAGAGACUAGUGGAGAAGCUACAAUAUGAUGCACUGAAUGGAAUUCCAGUUAACAUGGAGGAGAAGUUUUCACAGUUGACUCUAGAUGUUAUUGGUUUGUCUGUAUUCAACUACAACUUUGAUUCACUUAAUGCAGAUAGUCCUGUUAUUGAGGCUGUUUACACUGCAUUGAAGGAGGCAGAAGCUCGUUCAACUGAUAUUUUGCCAUAUUGGAAGGUUAACGUUCUUUGCAAAAUAAUCCCUAGACAAAUAAAAGCUGAAAAAGCUGUAAACAUAAUCAGGAAAACUGUUGAAGAACUUAUUGUAAAAUGUAAAGAGAUUGUGGAGGCUGAGGGUGAAAGAAUUGAUGGUAGUGAUGAAUAUGUGAAUGACUCUGAUCCUAGUAUCCUUCGGUUCCUGCUUGCGAGCAGAGAAGAGGUUUCCAGUCUGCAGCUACGGGAUGAUCUUUUGUCACUAUUAGUUGCUGGCCAUGAAACCACUGGUUCAGUUUUAACCUGGACACUUUAUCUUCUUAGUAAGAAUUCUUCCUCAUUGGGCAAAGCACAGGAAGAGGUGGACAGAGUUUUACAAGGAAGACGUCCUACCUAUGAAGAUAUCAAAGAUCUUAAGUUCUUGACACGCUGCAUUAUUGAGUCACUUCGGCUUUAUCCACAUCCUCCUGUCUUGUUAAGAAGAGCUCAAGUUCCUGACAUGCUUCCUGGAGAUUACAAGGUUGAUGCUGGUCAAGAUAUUAUGAUUUCUGUAUAUAACAUACAUCAUUCUUCAGAGGUUUGGGAGAGAGCUGAAGAGUUUUUGCCAGAAAGAUUUGAUUUGGAUAGGCCAGUCCCAAACGAAACAAAUACAGAUUUCAGAUUUAUUCCAUUCAGUGGAGGACCCCGCAAGUGUGUUGGUGAUCAGUUUGCUUUAUUGGAAGCAACAGUUGCUCUCGCAAUCUUUCUUCAGCACAUGAAUUUUGAACUGGUUCCUGAUCAGAAUAUUAGUAUGACGACUGGAGCAACUAUACAUACGACAAACGGCUUGUACAUGAAACUCAGCCCACGGCAGAGAUAGUUGGCUUCGUGUUCGUCUUCCUUUGACAAGUUCAGCUGUAAAAUUGCCCAUAGCUUGCGACACAUCAUUUACUCAUUGUAAUUCGUUUUUGAUGGCCCAACCGACGAUGCAGCUUUUUCUGAAUUUCGGAAUUUCCUAAAGAAGAUUAGUUCAUGUUCAAAGUGAAGAAGUGUAUUGGCAGAUGAGUCAGACAUAAUUCUGGUUUUCAUCAUUUAGCUACGAUGACUCUGCACCUUUUCUAAUUGAAGUUUGCACAUGAUGCUAGUAUUUCUUUGUUUUUA